GUUCUAGAGAGGAGGUCACCCAUGAACAACAACCAUGGAGGGGAACAUGAUUACAACAGCGGGGACCGGAACCGGAGCUGACUCUGUAACCAUGGUAACAGGUCCCACUGGCACCCCGGAUCUCCAGGUUCUGACCCACAGAGUGAAGCUUCUAGAGCACAGCCUGAGAGACAACGUCAGCUCCUUCACUGAGUCUGAGAGCGCUCUGCACAACAGGAUUAGAGAGUUGGAGGUGUCAGAACAGAGCCUGCUACAGAAGGUGGAGGACCUUACUGCCAACUCAGUCCUCCACUGCCCCAGCAUGCUGCAGCGCCAGAGGCUGGACGAGCGGCUCCACACGCUGAGGGAGGAGGUACGCUCCAUGUCCCAGGAGAAGGAGCGUGGGGAUCGUGUGUGGAGGGAGAGGCUGCGGCGCUGCCAGGCCCAGCUCAGGGCUAAAGAAGAGGAGAUGGGCCGCCAGUCUCAGUACUUUGAGCACUUUAAGAGCCAGCUGCACCACAAGCUAGACCUGGCCAGAGACAGGGAGCAGGGCCUGCAGACCAGACUCCACCAGCUGGAGCGACAGGUGCUGGAGAUGAACGUAUCUGCUGCCACCUACAUAGUCCCUGUCAACACAGCUAGCACCAACUCCGUUACUGCAGCCAAUGUCAAUCCCAUCAUAGUACCAACCUCAGGCCAACAGAGAACAGAGACAGAGAGACUGCCCCACCCAAGGGAGGAAGGAGAAGGAGAGGAGGAGGACGGUGAGGAGAAGACACAGCGGAGACACUACGGACAACAGCUCCAGCAGAAGCAGGGAGCGGAUGAUAGAGAAAUAGAGGGAGAAAGAGAGGGGGAGGAAGAGGGUGAGAGUCUGGGGGGUGAGGCUAGACUGAGAAGCUUCAUCCUCAGCCUCCAGGAGGACCUCCGGGGUCUGCUGGAGAGGGAGGAGCAGGAGCUGGCGGAGCAGAGGGGGCUGAUGGAACAGCUGCAGGAAGCGCAGGAGAACAACCACUUCUUGUCCUGUACGUUGGAGGAGAUGAGGACGGUGGUCCACAGACUGAAGCUGACAGAGAGCUCCCUGAUGGAGGAGGUGGAGGAGCUGCAAGAGGAGAACCAGAGACUGUGUCAGAGGCUCAGCCACACCCUGAGACAGACCAACCACAGCCUGGGUUCUACUGACCCCAGCCCUGUCUCUACCCCCAGCCUGGCUACCUCCCUGACAAACGCCCCUGGCCUGAGUCAACCAGUUCCCUGCUCUGUGGACAACACUGACCCGGUGAAGAUGAUCCCAGGCCAGUCUUCACUAGACACACCUCCCUCUGCUCAUCACCAUGGAGCAACAGAGAGGUCACAGGAAAACUCCACUCUGCCUCUGCCCCAGCCGGACCUCCUGAACCUCUCAGGCCACCGUAGCCAGAACCCCUGCCUCAUAUCCCUGGGUACUAAGAGCAUUGAGGGUCUGGGGGAGUUGACCCUGAGGGACUGGUGUCCUGGUCCUGGGGGCGUCCCCUCUCUAAACCUGGAGGAGGGGACAAGCGAGGAGACUGAGGCCCUGAGAGAGGCUUACAGGAGCAUGGGGGGCGACAUGGACUCACUCCGGGACCACAGGGACCAGCUGGAGAGCACGCUACGACACACACAGGACCAGCUGCACAGGGUGACCGAGGAGAACGCCCAACUGAAAUGUAAACUCAGGGCGCAGGGAGAAACAGGGGCCUGCGAGGUGGAGCAGGGGUCCUCGCUUGUAGGCGAGAGCAUGACAAAUGUCCAGGAAAACAAGGUGCCAACUCCAAACCUAAUACCCCAGGGGAGCAGAGAGCUCACUGCAACUCCAUAUCAGAAUGAUACUAUCCUAGCCUUAGCCCAGGAUGACCUGUCCCUGUAUGCCUUAGCCCAGGAUGACCUAGCCCUAGCCUUGAACCAGGAGAACCGGGCCCUGGGCAGGCGUAUCCAGGAGCUCCUAGCCCACAUAGAGCGCCAGGAGGGGGAGAGUGAGAGGGAGCUAGUCCAGCUCAGGCUACAGGUGUCCCUGCUAGAGAGGGAGAGCACCAGGCUGGAGCAGGAGAACCAGGAGCAGGGAGGUCUCAUCACUGAGCUGACCAGGAAGACUGAGGAUGACCUCAACACUAUCAUAGAGCUGCAGGAAAGACGGGUCGAGAGCAGUCAGCUAGGCCUACAGCAGGAGGACCGUUUGACCACGGAGUCAACGUGCAGGCUUAGAGAGAACAGGGACGAGCUGAUUGGCUAUCUCAGUGAUCUCAAAGAGGAAAGAGAACAGGUGUCCCUCUCACUUAGCAGUCAAACAGAGGAGAAACACCAGCUAACGCGCUCCAUGUGGGUUCUGAAAGAAGAACGCGACCAGAUCCAUAAGUCACUCUGCAGUUUAAAAGAAGAGAAAGAACAGCUGACAAGGUCCCUCUGUGGUCUGAAAGAUGAGAGAGACAAGGUGAUGCGGUCAAUGUGUGGUUUAAAAGAGGGGAGAGAUCAGCUAGUUCAGUCAAUGUCUGGACUCCAGGAGGAGAGACACCAGCCAGUUCAGUCAAUGUCUGGACUCCAGGAGGAGAGAGACCAGCUAGUUCAGUCAAUGUCUGGACUCCAGGAGGAGAGACACCAGCCAGUUCAGUCAAUGUCUGGACUCCAGGAGGAGAGAGACCAGCUAGUUCAGUCAAUGUCUGGACUCCAGGAGGAGAGAGACCAGCUAGUUCAGUCAAUGUCUGGACUCCAGGAGGAGAGAGACCAGCUAGUUCAGUCAAUGUCUGGACUCCAGGAGGAGAGAGACCAGCUAGUUCAGUCAGUGACUGGACUCCAGGAGGAGAGAGACCAGCUAGUUCAGUCAAUGUCUGGACUCCAGGAGGAGAGAGACCAGCUAGUUCAGUCAAUGUCUGGACUCCAGGAGGAGAGAGACCAGCUAGUUCAGUCAAUGUCUAGACUCCAGGAGGAGAGAGACAAGCUCUUGCAGUCUCUCUUCAGCCAAAAAGAUGAGAGAGACCAGUUGAUGCAGUCAAUGUGUGGUUUAAAGGGACAGAGGGACCAGCUAACACAGACACUCAGCCGUCUAGAGCAGGAGAGAGACAAGCUGUCAUCUCUCAGUCUUCAAACACGAAAGAGGUACCAGGUGGACCAGUUUGUCUCUGAUCUAAAAGAAGAGAAGGAGCAGCUAGUUCAGUCAAUGGAUGUUCUGAGAGAACAGAGAGAACAGCUCACAGAGGAGAGAGACCAGUUGCAGAUGGACGUCGCUACUCUACGGAAUCAGCUGCUGUUACAGGGGCGGAGCCACAACCAGCAGCCCUCAGAGAACCAUGUUGGCAAGGCAACACGCACAGAGGUUGUGGCUACAGAGAGAGGGGGUCAGAUGCCAAAAACGCAUGAUGAUGGUGAUGUCACUCAUAGAUGCCUGGCCACGGUCUACUCCUACAAGACCAUCCGUCUGGCGCAGUCUGCACAGAGUGUUGCUCUGAAGGAGCUGAGUUCAGAGUACACAUCUCUGAAGAGAGAGCAGGGCAGCAGAGAGGACUGGAGCAACACACUCACCUUACUGAGGGUGCGCUAUGAUGACAUCAGAGCUAAGUACAACGUUCUCCUGAGAAAGAGUCAGACGGACCAGGACAUAGCUCCUCUAAAGGCCAAGCUGUCAUGUCUGGUGGGGAAGUGCCAGCAGAGGAACAGUCUACUGGUGCAGUUGAUGCGAGCCCUGCGUCGGUAUGGCUGCCUGGACUACAAUCUGACCCAGGAGGCUGAGGACCUGCUUAACGACACAGCGCUGCAGGACUACGCCAGCACCUUCACACCCCCAUCCACUGCAGCUCUGCAGGAGAACACCCCCCUUCUCCCACCUGCAGCCUCAGAACGACCGGAGCGCUCACAGACCUCUGCUGCAGCCUCCACAGCACAGGAGCUGAGUAAAGCUGUGUCUGAAGGCAGUAGGAGGGAACACUUCAGAGUGUGUGUGGCCACAGCAGACUACUGCCCCUCUCCGAACAUGCCUCACACUCUACUGCCAAUGCUUCCCCUUUCUGCGGGUGAAUCAGUCCAAGUCACUGGACUCCCAGACAGACGUGGGAUGUACCAUGCCGAGGUGAAAGGGAAGUCUGGCCUGGUCCCUGCCCGUUUCUUAGAGGAGAAUGGGAGACCACUCAUCCUGACUUCCCCCUCGCCAGAGAGAUGUGCCAGUCUGACUAGGAAGCUGACCAGUCCAGGGAAGAUCAUCAACCUUCACCAGCAGUUGCAGAACACUCUCUCCAACAGCUACCAGGUUUUCCCUUCCAAGACCAGCCCCCAGGUUUACUCCAGUCCCCCUUCAGGACAGGGGUACUCCCCAGGAUACCCCAACCACAACCCUUCUGCCCCCAACCGACCCAAGCAUACCCUUGUAGCAACUACCCCUAUUAUUACUACUACUAGUCUCCUAUCUACCACUGCCCCCACUAAAACUACCAGUGAUGGUGCUACCUCUCCUAAGCAGACCCCAAACAGAGCACAUCCAACUACCAACCCUCCUGUCCACACCACCACCACCACUACUGCUCUUAGCAGUGGUAAAGAACCCCUCUCUAAAACUGUCUCUAUUGCUGCUACCUCCAAUGUUACAACCCCUGUUAAUACCCCUCCUACCGCUGUGGCCCAGACUGCUAAAGCACAAACUACCACUGCCUUGUGGAACACUGCCCCCACCAAAUCUGCCCCUUCAACUAUUACCGCUGGAACUACAGCCCCCACCAAAAUGGCCCCCAUCACUACUGCUCUUUCCCUUGCUGAGUUGUCACGACUGCCUGAUGAGGACCAUUGCAUCAAGAAGCCCCUCGCAAUCCUCCAACCUGAACAAGCUAAGCCAACCAAACCCAGAGCUAUACCAGAACCUCCAGCUGAGGUGGGCUCUGUUGAGGUCCUCAGGACUGUGGGACAGAGCAGCCUCAUGAUUGGUUGGGAGAGACCGCCACUGGAUGAGCUGGGCUGCAGCAACGGAACCUUUGUGUAUGGAUACAUGGUAGGCUGCUCCUCUCGCCUUGGAUACAUUAGAAUGUAA
rnacentral:lncRNA from 8 species